GCUGAGAUAGCUCAGUUGGUAGAGCAACGGUUUUGUAAACCGUCGGUCGCGAGUUCGAGUCUCGCUCUCAGCU
rnacentral:tRNA from 1 species